AGAGUUUGAUCUUGGCUCAGGAUGAACGCUGGCGGCGUGCCUAAUACAUGCAAGUCGAACGAAGAUGUAUUUGUGGUAACACGGGUGCAUCUUAGUGGCGAAUGGGUGAGUAACGCGUUGGUGACCUGCCCCGAAGAGAGGAAUAACCCCGGGAAACUGGGGCUAAUACCUCAUGUGCUUCAAGAUGUUAGAAGUUCUUGUCGUAAAGGUCUGGUAACAGAUUCGCUUCGGGAGGGACCUGCGUCCCAUCAGCUAGUUGGUAAGGUAAUGGCUUACCAAGGCUACGACGGGUAGGGGACCUGAGAGGGUGGCCCCCCACAUUGGCACUGAAAUACGGGCCAAACACCUACGGGUGGCAGCAGAAGGGAAUAUUGCACAAUGGGCGAAAGCCUGAUGCAGCAACGCCGCGUGCGCGAUGAAGGCCUUCGGGUCGUAAAGCGCUUUUCUGAGGGAUGAGCAAGGACGGUACCUCAGGAAUAAGGAUCGGCUAACUACGUGCCAGCAGCCGCGGUAAAACGUAGGAUCCGAGCGUUAUCCGAAUUUACUGGGCGUAAAGCGCGUGUAGGUGGUUUGGUAAGUUGGAUGUGAAAGCUCCUGGCUUAACUGGGAGAGGCCGUUCAAAACUACCAGACUUGAGGGCGGUAGAGGAAGGUGGAAUUCCCGGUGUAGUGGUGAAAUGCGUAGAUAUCGGGAGGAACACCAGUGGCGAAGGCGGCCUUCUGGGCCGUCCCUGACACUGAGACGCGAAAGCUAGGGGAGCGAACGGGAUUAGAUACCCCGGUAGUCCUAGCUGUAAACGAUGCGAACUUGGCGUUGGUGGUGUAAAAACUAUCAGUGCCGAAGCUAACGCGAUAAGUUCGCCGCCUGGGGAUUACGGCCGCAAGGCUAAAACUCAAAAGAAUUGGCGGGGCCCCGCACAAGCAGCGGAGCGUGUGGUUUAAUUCGAUGCUACACGAAGAACCUUACCCAGGUUUGACAUAUAGGUUGUAGGGAUCUGAAAGGUGACCGACCCUUCGGGGAGCCUAUACAGGUGCUGCAUGGCUGUCGUCAGCUCGUGCCGUGAGGUGUCCGGUUAAGUCCGGUAACGAGCGCAACCCUUGCCGUAUGUUACAAGUGUCAUACGGGACUGCCGGUUUAGUGCCGGAGGAAGGCGGGGAUGACGUCAAGUCAGCAUGGCCUUUAUAUCUGGGGCUACACACACGCUACAAUGGCCAGUACAAUAGGUUGCAAAACCGCGAGGUGGAGCCAAUCCUUAAAGCUGGUCUCAGUUCGGAUUGCAGGCUGCAACCCGCCUGCAUGAAGCCGGAGUUGCUAGUAACCGCGCGUCAGCUAUAGUGCGGUGAAUACGUUCCCGGGGCUUGCACACACCGCCCGUCACGUCAUGGAAGUUGGCAACACCUGAAGCCGGUAGUCUAACCGUAAGGAGGGCGCCGUUUAAGGUGGGGCUGGUGACUGGGACGAAGUCGUAACAAGGUA
rnacentral:rRNA from 1 species